UUAUGCGUGAUACUACUCACCUUAAGGUUGAGGAAAAGGUAGAUCAGCUCGAGGCGACUACGAUACCUAUACAAGAUAUAAUGGCAAUGAUGGGAAAUGGACAGAGUGAAAAUGACCAGAGCGAAUUGGAUGAUGACGUAAUUCCCGAAGAAUGGCUUGAGGAAAUACGAAGAAGAAAGAAACUUGUGUCCGAGGCAUGCGAGAAGUUUAAAACUGUAAAAAUACCUCUGA
rnacentral:misc_RNA from 1 species